AGGACCUGAUUGGUGUCCAGAACCUGCUGAAGAAGCACCAGGCUCUGCAGGCUGAGAUAACAGGUCAUGAACCUCGCAUCAAGGCUGUCACCCAGAAAGGAGAGACCAUAGUGGAGGAAGGUAGAGCAGGUCUGGUCCUGACAUGUUUCUGAGGUGUCUGCAGGUUCUGGCUCACUUUGUUUGGGUCCAGGUCACUUCGCUGGUUGUUUUACUUGAACUCGCGUCUUUAGCUGAAUGAGGAUGGAGAGACGGGUCGGACCUGGAGCAGGUCGAGGUCUUGCAGAAGAAGUUUGACGACUUCCAGAAGGACCUGAAGGCCAACGAGUCCCGCCUGAGGGACAUCAACAAGGUGGCAUCUGAACUGGAGUCAGAAGGUCUGAUGGCUGAGGAGGCUCCUAUGGUUCAGGCUCAGCAACAAGAACAUCUGGGUUCUGCUCCUGGAAAGACCGUACGGUUGGGCGUUCAGACGACGGCUAACUUUAAUUCCAUCAAGGAGCUGAACAACCGCUGGCGCUCGCUGCAACAGCUGGCUGAAGACCGGAGCAACAUGCUGGGCAGCGCCCAUGAGGUGCAGCGCUUCCACAGAGACGCUGAUGAGACCAAAGAGUGGAUCGAGGAGAAGAACCAGGCCCUGAACACAGACAACUACGGCCACGACCUGGCCAGCGUUCAGGCUCUGCAGUGUGAACAGGAAGGCUUUGAGUGUGACCUGGCAGCUCUGGGUGAUAAGGUCCGCUUCCUGAUCGGUACCAGGACCCGGGUUGUCUCUGGAGACACGUUCUUCAUGGUUCUGGUGACUCCACCCCAGCCGUUCCUGAUCAGCAAUCAGCGGGGUGCUUUCCUAUUUAAGGAUUCCUGUCGACCUCAUUGGAUACUGACCUCUACUCCAGGAUUUGGAUAUUCAACACACGGACCUUAUCACCACCCUCCAUAACCCACCUCUCAUCUCACCCAGUGCCCCAUCCACCAGGACGCCCCGCUUCUCUCCACCUCUGCUCCCUCUCCUGCGCUUCCCCCGGCUCUCUACCUCUCCCUCCUCCAGCCAACACGUACACCCACCACAACGCUGAGCUGUUGUUGCAGUUCCAACCACAGACUUAUCUGUGCACCUUAAGUUCCUCCUUAUAAAUAAAUAAUUUUUUCCAUCAGUUUUUGGUCAGUGUUGUAUUCUGCAUGUCUUGGGUUAAGUACCUUCCUCCAAACAUGACACUCCUCUUCAAAGAGCAAAUCUGUUCAGCACAUUCUGACAGACAGACCACCAUUCUUCUGUCGUGAUGCUGUACAGGACAUUUUUAGAGUUUUUCUUUUUAAAGAUAAAUAGGAUUACAUUUAAAGAGCAAUACUUUCACAUUAUCAUUUUCCCACACUUCUGUAUA